UCCCUUUUAAUUAACCCCCACCCGAAACCCUACCCAUUUUUCCUCCAAGCCGCUGCCUCUUAAUGCUCUCUACUCUCCCUUUUUCUCUAAAGAACCCUAGCCGCCUCCCCCUUAAAUCCCUCUCCUAAUCCCGUUGAUAAUGGAAUUCCUUCAUUAUUUUCUUACCAUAUCUAUAUUUCUCCGCUACUGGUCAUGCGUUUAUGGUAUUACUUAGGUACUUGCACAAUUUUGGAAAGUACCAUCUCCAGAUCGGACUGGAAUCGACCACAAUCUUGGAUAUUUGGACAAUAUUUCGUCCAUAUACAUGAAGAAAGGCCUGAUUCUUCAUACCAGUUGCCUGAUUUUACGCAUCAAACCCUGUCUAGGGUUUGGAGUUUGAUUUUUUUCCUUUCCAGUUACUUUACUGAUUACAUGUGUAUUUUUCUUCUUUUCUUGUUUAUUUUUGCUUAAGUUUCCUUCCUUGUUUACUCGUUUGAUUUAACUACUAUAUAAACCCAUUCCCCGCUUAACCUCUAGGUGUUAAACUAAUGAUACGACUACUACUACUACAACUAUUGUUCUCCCACUCUCAUUCAUUCUAUAUUAUUUUGAGUUUUUGAUUUUGGACGGCUGAAAGCCAAGUCCGUAGAAGUCUGUUCAUUAACCUCCUCCAGUGCAAGCACUAUUCGGAGCCCACUUCAAGGCUUUUGUAAACUCUGAAGCACUGGGGAUUUGGGGUUUCAUCAUUCUCCAGUAAUCGCAGUUAUUCCUGAUAUUAUGAGUUCUUCAUUCUUUGUUUACUUUGUUCAUAACUGGUUAGUACCUUAUACUCUCAUAAUUUUACUUCGCUCUAAUUGUGUUUAUGUUAUGUGCAUCCUUUGGGUGUUUAAUGUUGUGCCACUUUAAGCCUUCUUGUCCUAAUGCCAUCUUGUAGUUCCAACUAUGUUCUAAUUCUGAUUUUUGCAUAGUUAGCUAAGUUGAUUCAUUACGUUUGUUUGGUUUGCAAUUAAACCUGAUUGAUGUUUAUCGCACUUUGUUUGGAUCCAUGGGAAAUUAUGUCAUUGCUCAGAAUUGUUUCCUCCAUGUUGAUUCCCUUAUGCAUCACCUACUAUUUUGCUGCAAAUUAUGUGAUGACAGUGUCUACGUGCUUAGCCUAAUACGCUUUUCCUUGACAUUACUAGACUUAAUGCAUGCCCAUUGUAGAUGUCCAACUUGAUUGAUUGCUUAUGUUCACGUUUAAGUCUAAUUGAUUACUUAGGACAAUUGAUUAUCAUGAAUCCAUGACUUAGAAUCUCCUAGGAAACUAAUGCAUGCCCAGAACUUAUUGGAAUGUGUCUUUGCUAAGUCUUUCGUGUACACUUGCUAUUUUCCUGGAAUCAACUUAUGAUUAUAUGAAUUCUAUAUGCCAAUAUUGUUACAAUGCCAAGGUAGACUUGUUCUUUGCUUUGAUGUUGUGUGCUCACUGAUUGUUUGAGACUCCUAGGGUGAAUUUCAAUACAUGUGUAGUUUACGUCUUCUUAUGUCGACUAAGACAAGUCCCCGCCCUCUUCAUGUGAUGCAUGCUUGCCUUAUUUACCUAAAAUCCAGUUUCUUCUCAUCUUCCAUGAAUAUUUACUUACCUGUAGGAUUUAAAACCUUUGUUUGGUGAUUUGUAUUUACCUGAAUAUUUUACAUGUUAAGCUCUGCAAGUUAGUUGUUCUCAUUAGUCUCUCAUGUUAAGGUUGUAUCUCACAUAUUCUUGUCUAUGGCACUACUAGGUUAUCAUGCUAAAACCCCUGCCUAAAGCUCUCUAAGAUAGUCCUAGGCCAAGCUUUGUUUUGAAACUUUGUUUGAAAUAAUCUUGUUGCUCUUAAGUUCCGUUUCUGGAAUGAUAAGCAUAAACUUGACUCAUAUGUGUCUUGUAUGUUUUCCCAAUUUAAGCAUGAUCUUGCUUAUAUGCCUUAACUAGAAUAGAUAUUAGUUACAACUUUAGGAGUAGUUUGUUACCCAUAUGGCUGAAUUUAACAUUCCCUAGCUUAAUCAUUGGAAUCGUUUGGUCCUGGUAUGUUAGGCUUGGCUUUGGUGUUGAGGGUUCGAAAGUACUGUCUGCACCUGGAGUUUGGGCCUGGUGUCCUAAGCCUAUUUGAAGGCCCAGAUGUAUUACUGGGUUAUUCUGUAUUUAUAUUUGGGCCUGUAAUUAUUUCAAAUGAGUUGUAACAAUUUGUAAGCAAGUGAUGGGGAGAUUAGUGAAAAGGGGGCUGGGGUAUUCCGAUUCUCACAUGAAGGGGUAGAAAACUUGCCUAUAGGAUUUAAUUAAAGCCUUGUUUGCUAUUCGUUUAAUGUGAUCCUAUUCUACACGCUUAUAGAAAUCAUGCCUAUAGGGAUCACACACACUUCACUUGUACACUAUUCAAAGCAUGUUAGUAUUUUCCAUACUUGUUUCUAUGUCUAUCACUGUGCACACUUAUAUAGCAUGCCUAUAUGAUACAAUAACGUAUAUUUUACUAAUGCUCGUCUAGAUACCAUGUCUAUAGGGUUUCAACUAAUCAAUCAAUCAGUCACUUCUAUUGCUUUUGGUACACUGCUCAUCUAUAUAUCAUGAUUAUAGGAUCUUAAUCAACUAAUCAAUUACUUUGUUGCUUCAUUGUAUUGCCACACCUAGAUGACAUGCCUAUAGGGAUCAAGUAUUAUAAAAUCAAUUUCAAUUGUCAACUAUUAGAAAUCCUGCCUAUAGGAUACUGUUACUCGUCUUAGAUAGCAUAUCUAUAAAUCAAACAUCAUUAACCCUGGGCUUUUGAAGAGUCUUACUGCCUCUUCGAGCGAACAAUGUAGAUAUCAUGCCUAUAGGAUUGUAAUACCUUUUAAUGUGCCAAUUAAUUAGUCUAAAGUUGUCGUAUUGUUUGUAUGAUACUGAAAUCAGAAUCACAUAGAACCAUGCCUAUAGGACUUAAUGACUCUAAUGCGGAUUAAUUCUAAAAUUGUCUAUUGCCUAAUAUGCCGAGCAUUUGUUGUUUAUGUGAGGAGGUUAACUUGAGCCCUUUAUUGAUUUUAUGUGAAGUCUUAUAUGUUUUGAGUGCACGCCUACUUUUAUCAUUUUGAGUAUCCUAAGUAGAGUCUAGAACCACCCCAAAUAGUAGGUCUAAAGCCUCGUGGACCACAGGCGUGGGACAGGUAGUGCACACAUAGGACACGACCUAGAAUUGAAUUAGAGCGUCUUUAGGUAAACAACUUUAACAUAGUAAUCGGGUAGCAGGAGAUGAUAGUAUGUGCAUGCUGAACAAUAUGAGUAACCCCUACGUUAAGAGAGUUGCGAAGUAUUAUUUAUGUUGCAUGGGGUGAUCCUUUAGGCUAAAAAACUUAGGACCCCCUCCUCCUUUAUAUAUGUUCAUUGUUCACACUUAGUCAUUAAAUAUAGAAUAAUUAAGUUGUACCUUGUAACCUCUAAAGACUUGUAUUGACUAUCUAUAUAGUCUAAUUGUUGCCUGAUUUUCUUUGCACAUGCUCAUAAUAAAACCUUUAAAUUCCUUGUCUUCCCUCACUUAUAUGAUCACUUGGGACAAUUGUAAUAUGAUAAUCCCACAUAGUUUAAAAUUUGGCCAGGAACCAUAGUUGUGGAUCUCGAAGAGUGCCUAACACCUUCUUUUUAAGAUAAUUCGAGUCGUUACCCGAUCUUUGGUAACACAGACUAGCUAAAAUAGAAUUAUUUUCAUAUAGGUUCCCUAAUGCACCUUAAAAUCAUUAGGUGGCGACUUUUCUCUUUUACUACCCAUUUAAAAGAGUUGUCAUAUGUUUAAGUCCGAUUAUGCGAGAAAAAGGGGGCGCGACAAUGAGAUGGAUCCUUCUAGAACAUAGUCUCGAGUUCGUUUUUCUCUUGCGAUGGAGAGUUUGGUGUGUUUUAUCAUCGGCCCUUGGGAACAUCCACUCCUUCGAUAAUCAUAUUAAUCACAUAUUGGGAUUCUUCAUGCUCGACAUGUUUGGCGUCCCUGUUCCUGAAAUGGUUUUUGGCCCACUCACUUAGGAAUUCUUGAACCCAUUAUUUAACAAAUGAGCCACUUCUCCCUUAACUGUCGACAAUCCUCAGUUCUAUGCCCGUGAGUACCGUGAUAUUUCCAUAUAAAUUGUGAUCAAUUUGUGCCAGAUUGGACUGAAGCGGCCUCGGCUAUUUGGUCUCCUUGAUGCGACCGAUGGCAGACACUAUGCUUUAUGCAUCUACGUUGAAGUUAUACUCGAAUAACCUAGGGGCAUCUCUAACUCCGGAUGAUCUAUCAAGCCCGUUUCAAACACCUGCCCUCGAUUUCUUGGACCCUAAUAAUUUUUUCUGUUGUUCCUGGUCGAGUAGUGACCGGGUCCGCUUCCCCUUCUAUCUGGGUUGUAAGGUUGGUAUCGAUCUUGAGGUGGCCCCGACUCCUGAUCCAAUACUCUUUUAUACUUGUCGUUCAUUUUAGAGGGAUAAACCGACCCCGAUGGGGUCUCUAAUUGGUCAUCCAUGACUCUGAUAUUUUGAUUGAUACCUGUUGUGGACAUCAGCCCAGGUAACCGUUGGAUAUUUUACCAAAUUUUGCUUCAGUUAUUGAGAUGCAACUGAACUUUGGGGGUUGAGCUGCCGAGUAAAUGCUUGAAUGGCCCAAUUAUCUGUAACCGGUGGUAGGUCCAUCAUUGGAACCUUGACACAAAUUGUAAGGCCCUAUAAAUUUUACCUAAAACCUCGGGACUUCUUAGUGUCGGGGUAGACUUACGUGUUCAUGAUUAUGGACUUUUUGGGUUGAACGGUGCACUGGGGAGUAAAAGAAAUAUUAUUCGUGCUGGGUAGACACUACCGCGCUGAGGAGGCGCGCUUGUGGCGAUUUCUCGAACACUUCGAAAAUACAUUUCUGGGCACAUUUUUCACUAUCGCGCCGCACCAUGCGGCGCGGCUGUGCUAAUUCAGGGUUUUUAGAACCUAACCCCUAUUUCAUUUAUCUAGCCUAAGGGUUCGUUUUGGGGGGGAUUUUCUGGUGUUUUAGAGAGAGGGGAGAGCGACUCUAGAGAGAGGAUAGGGAGGACUAAGGAUUUCACUACUCUACCUUGAAUCAAACCUUAAAAUUUCAUCAAAGGGUUGCUAGGGCUUCAAAGAGGUAAGAAUUUCUUUCCCGUGUUCUUCAAUUUCGAAAUUUAACUAGAAAUGGGUAAUUAGUAAGAUACUCUUUGGGCAUGGGAGUUGUCCAUCUUGCAUGCAUUUGUUAUCAAAGGGAUGUAAGGAGAUUGUUGAGCUAAAAAUGAUAGAUAAUGGGUUUGGGAUGUUGGAAUCCUCCAUAAAAGGACCUUGGAACCUUAAUGCACACCUAGUGUUUGAUAAAAUGCUCAAAUGAGCUAGAACCAUGAUCAUCUUCCUAAUUUUGGUUCAAUUUGUUACAUUUCUAAAAUAGAUUCAAGUUGCUAAGAUUUCUGGAACAUUUUAGAGUGUAAGGAAGCUCAAGUGAGGUAUGUUGGCUAAACUCUUCUUUAAGAACUGAACCCCCCAUUACCCUUGUAAGUUCCAAGAUGUCUAUUAUAAAUUGAGUAUUCCAAAUACGUUUUGUGACAAAGAUAUAUGUUUAAUUCGUAUUUCAAAUGCUCUUAUCAUGUUGUAUUAUAAAUUGAGGAUGUGUUCCAAACUGUGGAUUGUGUAUCUACAUCCUAUAAUUCCAUGUCGUGAUUUAUGUGGAAGUUAUUGUGCCAAAUUGUGUAGAGAUUGGGAUUGGGAUUACACCUCCACACGCAUACAUUGGGGUGAGGCGACAUGGCCGUUGUGUGUAGGUAUUGGUAUCGUUGAUGCAUUUCCACCCGCAUAGAUUGGGGUGAGGCGGCAUGGCCACUUUGUGUAGGUUUUUGAUAUUGUGGUUAUACCUUCACCCACAUACAUUAGGGUGAGGCGGCAGGGUCACUUGAGUAAAGUUGUGGUAUUGUGCUUACACCUCCACCUGCAUACAUUGAGAUGAGGCGGCAGGGCCACUUUGUGUAAAGAUAGUUACAGAUGAUCUCAUCUUAAAUUCUAUAAAUGUUAUUAAUAGCUCUUGAUAAGCUUUCUUUGGCUUAAACGACUAUUUAUGCUAUUCUAUUGUCGCCCUGAUUCAUCAUAUUCAUAUUGUACUUCCGAGUUCUUAAAUUGGUGUUUGGUUUUCAUACUAGUACUCUUCGACAUAUACUAACGUCCCUUUUGCCUGGGGCGCUGCAUCUUUAAUGGAUGCAGGUGGUUCCAAAGCGGAGGAUAUUGACCAGUGAUAGCGGUGCUCAUUCUUCCCAGCUGACUUGGUGAGCUCCAUCUCAUUCCGGGGUUGUUCAUCUUUUGUUUCGUAUGUGUUAUCGUGUUUUGAGGUAUAGCCGGAGCCUUAUUGCCGGCACUAUCAUUGUACUCUUUGGUAUCUUUAGAGGCUCUGUAGACUUAGUGUGGGUUGUAUAUGGGUGUUGGGAAUGUUAAACAAGUUGUGUUGUGAUUGAAUCACUUGUUCCACUUGGAACCAUGAAGGGG
rnacentral:lncRNA from 1 species